CUGCCCCCUCCCCCCAACACCACACACCCAGUCUUCCACCACAGGACACAUUCACCACAGCUCUACCACAUCACAAUUCUAACCACACAUCACCUCUAACUUCAAAUAAACAUAAGAGAAAUGUCAGAAAAUAUACUUGUUUUAACCUCACUGGAAUCACAAAACAUAUAUUUUUCCAGAUUUUAGGCCAUUCCAGUCCAUUCCAGGCACGGUAGCUUACUUGUUUCCAGAUUUUAAGUCAUUCCAGUCCAUUCCAGGCAUGGUAGCUUGCGUGUAUCAUUCCUAAUAUUGCUACGAGCCACUGGAAACCUAACUAACGAGUAUUUUAAAGCCACUCACGAGAUAUUGUCAAAAUUGAAAGAAUCUUAAACCUAGCUCCAAUGCUGGAUGGGGUCAUGGCUUAGCUACAGGCGACAGUAUUAAAAAAACGGCUCGAAAUCCAAAUCAGGUUAUGUAAUUAGUGGGGGUGACAAUUGCGGUCACAAAUUAAGAAACACGAACACCACGUAACUGUCACUCUCACUCACCUUAGACAUGUGACGUUAAUAAAGUUGAUGAAGCAGACCUAAACGUAACUCCACACAGCGUCACACUCACGCACGCACGCACUCACUCACUCACUCACUCUCACACCACAUGACACAAAAUACGAACAUUUUAAACCACACAACCGACGCUCAUUACCUCGCUCAAUUUCUCUACAUACACACACUCUGCUUUCACGCACUUUAGUAAUAUGAAGCACCCCGCCACGCUCACGCACAGUCAGUGAAUGCGUCACAAAGUGGAAUGAAGGCAAGGAAGAGCACUCGCCUCCUGUGCCCGCGGCCGCCCUCAGUAAUAGGUGCGUCACGUGACCGUGCGCGCGUCGCUGUUCUAAUUAUCGCAGGUGACCACUAAACACAAUGCACUCGUGGUGAUGGGACAGGUAUGCGCACUGAGAUAGAUCGAUGACAAUGUGUGUGUGUGUGUGUGUGUGUGUGUUGAUGUGUUGUUUGUUUUACUUCAUGGAUUAAAUAUUAUCGUUGUUUUUGUUAUCAUUAUUAUUCAUUUAUGACUUGUAUCGCUCGUUCUCGCCCCCUCGUUAACUCGUCCACUCCUUGGUGUAUCUUCAAUUCCUGGAGCAGUUAACUUUAUAACAACCGUUAAUCAAUAUACGAUCCUUCGGAAUAAGAAUAGACCAAGUACCUUUAUUUGUUGGAUAAGUUUUUAUUACGAAAGCAAUCACAAUUCUUUUAACUGA